GGCCGACUAGCUCAGUUGGUUAGAGCGUCGUGCUAAUAACGCGAAGGUCUUGGGUUCAAUCCCCACGUUGGCCA